GAUGAACGCUAGCGGCAGGCCUAAUACAUGCAAGUCGAACGGGAUUGCGGUAGUAGCUUGCUACUACUGCAUGAGAGUGGCGCACGGGUGCGUAACGCGUGAGCAACCUACCCAUAUCAGGGGGAUAGCCCGGCGAAAGUCGGAUUAACACCGCAUAACAUCAACAGUUCGCAUGUUCAGUUGAUUAAAUAUUUAUAGGAUAUGGAUGGGCUCGCGUGACAUUAGCUAGUUGGUAGGGUAACGGCUUACCAAGGCAACGAUGUCUAGGGGCUCUGAGAGGAGAAUCCCCCACACUGGUACUGAGACACGGACCAGACUCCUACGGGAGGCAGCAGUAAGGAAUAUUGGUCAAUGGGCGCAAGCCUGAACCAGCCAUGCCGCGUGCAGGAGGACUGCCCUAUGGGUUGUAAACUGCUUUCAUCAGGGAAUAAACCCCUUUACGAGUAGAGGGUUGAAUGUACCUGAAGAAUAAGGAUCGGCUAACUCCGUG
rnacentral:rRNA from 1 species